rnacentral:rRNA from 1 species
UACAGAGGGUGCAAGCGUUAAUCGGAAUUACUGGGCGUAAAGCGUGCGCAGACGGUUGCGUAAGUCAGAUGUGAAAGCCCCGGGCUCAACCUGGGAAUUGCAUUUGAGACUGCGUAGCUAGGGUGCGGAAGAGGGAAGCGGAAUUUCCGGUGUAGCGGUGAAAUGCGUAGAUAGUCGGAAGGAACACCAGUGGCGAAAGCGGCUUCCUGG